AGAGUUUGAUCCCUGGCUCAGAUUGAACGCUGGCGGCAGGCUUAACACAUGCAAGUCGAGCGGUAGCACAGGGGAGCUUGCUCCCCGGGUGACGAGCGGCGGACGGGUGAGUAAUGUCUGGGAAACUGCCUGAUGGAGGGGGAUAACUACUGGAAACGGUAGCUAAUACCGCAUAACGUCGCAAGACCAAAGAGGGGGACCUUCGGGCCUCUUGCCAUCAGAUGUGCCCAGAUGGGAUUAGCUAGUAGGUGGGGUAAUGGCUCACCUAGGCGACGAUCCCUAGCUGGUCUGAGAGGAUGACCAGCCACACUGGAACUGAGACACGGUCCAGACUCCUACGGGAGGCAGCAGUGGGGAAUAUUGCACAAUGGGCGCAACCUGAUGCAGCCAUGCCGCGUGUGUGAAGAAGGCCUUCGGGUUGUAAAGCACUUUCAGCGAGGAGGAAGGUGGUGAACUUAAUACGUUCAUCAA
rnacentral:rRNA from 1 species